rnacentral:rRNA from 1 species
UACGUAGGGUGCAAGCGUUGUCCGGAAUUAUUGGGGUCGUAAAGAGCUCGUAGGCGGCUUGUCACGAUUCGACUUGUGAAAACCCGGGGCCCAACCUUCCGGGCCUGCAGGUCGAUACGGGCUGGCUUGAGUGCGGUAGGGGGAGACUGGAAUUCUGGUGUAGCGGUGAAAAUGCGCAGAUAUCAGGAGGAACACCGGUGGCGAAGGCGGGUCUCUGGGCCGUAAACUGACGCUGAGGCGCGAAAGCGUGGGGGAGCGAAACAGG